GUUGUCCAACGCCCAGGAUGACAGGAUUUGAUCUCACAUCCUGUAAUGUGCGACACCAAGACAUACCGGAAGAAGAAGUAAAGCACAAGGAAUGUAGGAACAGGACAGAGAAGGUGCGCCCUCUAAAUGUACAGGUCGUGACAACCAGCAACCACUGAGGAUCAAAUGCGUCAUCUUUGCUUUCUACACAUUACACUGAAGCUGAGAACAUGAAGCCUCGUGCUCUUGUGAACACGAUCAAUAGCAUCGACAAACAGUUUAAGGAAACUGUAAAGGAUGUCACUUCCUAAACAUACUUAUAC